UAGAGGAGCCCCCCCUUCAGGGAGCGGCACUGCGGGUCGUGGGCGCGAGUCAUCAGAGUUCUGGCCAGAGAUACCGGGGCCACUCAGAGUUGACCCCAGAAAGAGGAGCCACUGUGAGGAGAAGGGACUCGUGCUUUCCUUAGACCUUUCCACACUGGCCAGCCCCCACACCGAAACUGCUUGUUCAUCGGAGCUGGGCUCGGUGGGGAGUGACUCAGAAUCCUGUUUUCUCUCUUCUCCAAUUUUCUUCUUAAAGGCCCCAUUUUUAGGGUCAGUGGACUCAUUGUCAGGCACGGCGGGUCUUUCCAAGGACGGGAUAGGCUGGGUCACUGAGAAGCCGCUGACGGAAGGGGGGCUUCCCUCCAAAGCUUCCCCCACUCUCAGCGCCCUUGCUGGGGUGCCGCUGGGGGUGUCAGCCUCAGCCGACCCCACUGACCAGCUAUGCUGGCAAGAGGCACCACUAUUGCAGCUGCUGGCCAAGAAACGAGGAGUCGGAGUACAAUGUCUUCUUCAGAGAUUUCAGGGCAGACGGAUGUGCUGACCCCAGAGGCGACAAAGCGUGACCUGGGUUGCCAGGAGAAACCUUAGUUAUGCGUGUCUGUGACUCUCGUGGAGACUGCUGUACGCCUGAGCCAGCCCUGGACCAGAACCACGCCGGGCUGGGCUCCCGAUCCCAGCGGCACACUAGGAGGCUAUGGGCUGGAGCUGCCCACCCUGCUCAGUCACCAGCGGGGUGUCUGGAUUGGUAACAGUGGCCCUGGCUGGGAAGAGGCUGGGACAGGAGCCAGGCAAGGAGAGAGAAACAUCGAUGUGAGAGAGAAACAUCAAUUGGCUGCCUUCUGUAUGUGACUGAACCAGGGAUCGAACCUGCAACCUAGGUAUAUGCCCUGAUUGGGAAUUGAACCUGCAACCCUUUGGUUAUAGGAUGAAACUCCAACCAGCUGAGCCACACUGGUCAGGGUGGUCCCCUUCAUCUCUUCUGUGAUCCUCAGCCUUCCUGUGAGAGGAAAGGAAAGCUCAGGGGAGGUGAGAGUUUAGUAAAAUCACCCCACCUGGUGCAUUCGGGGGCAGAACCUGUCUCACACCGGGGCUUCUGACCUCAGGGUGCUUCUUGCCGGUAACGUGCCUGGUACACUCAGCACUGGAGUUUGUGUGUCAAGACCCUGGUUCUUCCCUUCAUGUUGCCUCUGAGUGAGUGGCUUAAUCUCUUGAAGCCUAACUUUCCUUGACUCAAAGAUGUAAGGUGACUCCGGCAAUGAUGAUGUUCUCCUGAGUAGCAAGGUGCGACCUGUGACCUAGUCUUUCUUGCUCAGACAGCUGAGAGAGGUCACGGCUGUCCACCUCGGCGACUGUACCAACUGGUACUCAGCGCUGCUUCCUCGCGGAGCCAGCGUGGGGUGUCUUCCUGUCAGGCUGUGCUCCAUCCUGGUGCACAUCAGGUUUAUCACCGACUCCCUGGGGAGCCUGUGCUGGGGGCGUCCGUGAACCUUUCUACCAGCAGCACCCGCAGAGCCAUAGGUUUUAAUCUGACCCCACAGUCUGGGGGUUGCCAUCAAGCACCCACACUUCCUCAUAUCCCAACCUGGGGACUCUAGAUAGGAAUCGCGGGCCCCUAAUUCAGACUUGCCCUCCUGACACUAAGUUCCAGCCACUGCCCUUCCCACCCUCCCCAGUGAGACGGCCUGGACGCUAGAGGCACCCUGCGUUUCCUUUCUCCCAUUCUGGGCUCCUCUGUCUUCCCCCAUCCCUUUCCCUCAUGCCCACAUUCCCCUCUCAUAUCCCCCCAUGUCUCCCACCCUCCUCUGUUCUCCCCUCUAUCUCCUCACCCCUUUCCCAACUUUCCUCCGCCCUUCUCUCUCUUUCUCUUUCCUCCUCUCCUUUCCCGUGUACCACCACCUCCCCGCUCCUCAUCCCUUACCCCACCCUGCCCUAAUCUUUGCAUGUGGUGGAUGUGGCAGUUCUGAGUUCCUGGGCCUCUCCUACCAGGGCACCUGUGAGUUUCAUUUCUGAGCAGGCCACCUCCCAGUGGCACAGAGCAGGGGGCCUCAGGGCCCCCCUGAGUGGAGGAGAGAAGGGCUCCCUGUAUGGACGUGGGCUUCAGGAGGCCUCACACACUGGCUACAAGGUGUUUUGUGUUUCACUGGCUCUGGCCAGUGCUGAUAUGCUCUCGGAUGGCACCACCCUCACUGAGGACACUUUUGGCCACGGUGUCUUUCUGCUGAACUGGGGCAGAGGGUGUGGGGAGGGGCAAGGGUAUCCCUCUGAGUCAUCUGGGACUCUUCCUACUCUCUCUCCCCCUCCCACAGUCAAGCAGUCCUUUGAUUAGCCCCUGAAAUGCUCCCUCAGACUUCCCUCCUCUCUGUGGUUCCAGCCUUCGUCAGCUCCUGGUUGGACCGAGGUCGUUUUGUCCUGGCUGUCUUCCAGGCCACCUGACAUUCAUUCCGCUUCGUUUCGAUGUGUGCCUGAUGCCAAGAUAGUUCACCCACCACUCCCCAUUGCCUUUAUUUUUUUUAAUUUAUUUUUAUUGUAUUUUUUCCAUGACCAUGUGUCCUCCUUUCACCCUUUUCCACCUCCCUCCUCCAGUGCCUUCAGAACAUGCUCAACACAGCCUUCUGAGUUCUCAGGAGUCACCCAGGCUGGCUUCUCUGUGCCCCGCCUCGUGUUUUGUGAACGAUUCCAAAGCCAGUUACGAAUGUGAUAUUCCUCCCUUGAAUAUUUUACUAUGCAUCUUUAAAAAGCAGGGUAAUUCUCCGAUGUAAUCAUACUGUCAUCAUAGCUAAGAGAAAUAUUUUCUCACAUCUGAUUCUCAGUUCAUAUGCAAAUUUCCCCGGUUGUUCCUCUAUCUUUUCACAGUUGGCUUGUUCAGACAAAGAUUCAAUCAAAGACCAAGCAUUGUACUUGGUUUUUACGUGUCUGAAGUUUCUUAAUCUUGACUUCAGACCACCUUCGCUCCCACUCAUCUUUCACCACAUCCUUCCUGAGUACUCUGGGCUACCCAGUCCUAGUCUGCACUGGGGUUGUGACCUGCUCUUUGUUUAUACUUGGCCUUUCCUCCUUCCUGGAACUGAGAGCUUGCUCCUUCUCUAAAGUCACUUCAGAGAGUACCACCCACUUCUGCGAAAUUAGUUUUUUCUUUUUCCUCCCUGGGCUGAGGCAUCACCUGCCUCUCCCUCUGACCUCAUCCAGCUGACACCAGGGGUUGCUGCCACAGUGUGGCCUUGCUGGUUGAGGGCAGGACCACCGUCCUCCCCACCUUGCUCUCCUCCCACCCCUGUGCCUAAUGCAUGCUUGGCAUCUACAGGCAGCAUAAUAAA